ACUCUUCGGAGUUAGUGGCGGACGGGUGAGUAACACGUGGGAACGUGCCUUUUGGUUCGGAAUAACUCAGGGAAACUUGUGCUAAUACCGAAUGUGCCCUUCGGGGGAAAGAUUUAUCGCCAUUAGAGCGGCCCGCGUCUGAUUAGCUAGUUGGUGGGGUAAUGGCCCACCAAGGCUACGAUCAGUAGCUGGUCUGAGAGGAUGACCAGCCACAUUGGGACUGAGACACGGCCCAAACUCCUACGGGAGGCAGCAGUGGGGAAUCUUGCGCAAUGGGCGAAAGCCUGACGCAGCCAUGCCGCGUGUAUGAUGAAGGUCUUAGGAUUGUAAAAUACUUUCACCGGUGAAGAUAAUGACUGUAGCCGGAGAAGAAGCCCCGGCUAACUUCGUGCCAGCAGCCGCGGUAAUACGAAGGGGGCUAGCGUUGCUCGGAAUUACUGGGCGUAAAGGGAGCGUAGGCGGACAUUUAAGUCAGAGGUGAAAUCCCGGAGCUUAACUUCGGAACUGCCUUUGAUACUGGGUGUCUUGAGUGUGAGAGAGGUAUGUGGAACUCCGAGUGUAGAGGUGAAAUUCGUAGAUAUUCGGAAGAACACCAGUGGCGAAGGCGACAUACUGGCUCAUUACUGACGCUGAGGCUCGAAAGCGUGGGGAGCAAACAGGAUUA
rnacentral:rRNA from 1 species